CCCUUUUCUCCCCUUUUUAUUACUCUGCUGCAUUCUGCCAUUCAUUUCCUUUCCUCUUACCCCUUCCCUCUCUGAUUCAUCAUUUAGCCAAGCACAUGCCUCUCCAGAGCCAGCUGUCUGCUGCUUCAGGAAGAACAUAAGCACCCUUUCCCCUCCAACACACUUUGUAUUAACUAGUCCUUGGAAAUUUGACUUGAAAUCUUGAAAGGAAAAGAGUUAACAGUGUUUUUCUUCCUGUUUAGUUUCUGGCUUGGGCUUUGGAAUCAUGAGUGGAGUAUUUUCCUUUGUGAAUACCCUAUCUGACUCCUUGGGGCCAGGCACAGUGGGCAUUCAUGGAGAUUCUCCUCAAUUCUUCCUUUAUUCAGCUUUCAUGACGCUGGUCAUCAUCUUGCUGCAUGUGUUCUGGGGCAUUGUAUUUUUUGAUGGCUGUGAGAAGAAAAAGUGGGGCAUCCUCCUUAUCGUUCUCCUGACCCACCUGCUGGUGUCAGCCCAGGUGAGUGUUGCCGCCGUGCUC
rnacentral:sRNA from 1 species